rnacentral:rRNA from 1 species
AGAUUGAACGCUGGCGGCAGGCCUAACACAUGCAAGUCGAGCGGUAGAGAGAAGCUUGCUUCUCUUGAGAGCGGCGGACGGGUGAGUAAUGCCUAGGAAUCUGCCUGGUAGUGGGGGAUAGCGCUCGGAAACGGACGCUAAUACCGCAUACGUCCUACGGGAGAAAGCAGGGGACCUUCGGGCCUUGCGCUAUCAGAUGAGCCUAGGUCGAUUAGCUAGUUGUGAGGUAAUGGCUCACCAAGGCGACGAUCCGUAACUGGUCUGAGAGGAUGAUCAGUCACACUGAACUGAGACACGGUCCAGACCUCCUACGGGAGGCAGCAGGUAGGGGAAUAGUUGGAACAAGUGGGACGAAAGCCUAGAUCCAGCCAGUCGCCGCGUGUGUAGAAGUAAGGUC